ACUGGAAUAGCCCUUCGAGAGAAGGGGUAAUACCGGGCGACGAGCCGACGGGGCAUCCCGUUGUCUCCAAAUGAGUUUCGCCCUGGGAGGGGCCCAUGUGAUAUUAGCUAGUUGGUGAGGUAACGGCUCACCAAGGCGAAGAUGUCUAGCGGGUGUGAGAGCACGACCCGCGCCACUGGCACUGAGACACUGGCCAGACACCUACGGGUGGCUGCAGUCGAGGAUCUUCGGCAAUGAGCGCAAGCUUGACCGAGCGACGCCGCGUGUGCGAUGAAGGCCUUCGGGUUGUAAAGCACUGUCGAGAGGGAGAAAAGGAAACUUGAUCUAUCUCUGGAGGAAGCACGGGCUAAGUUCGUGCCAGCAGCCGCGGUAAGACGAACCGUGCGAACGUUGUUCGGAAUCACUGGGCUUAAAGGGCGCGUAGGCGGGUCGCCAAGUUUGGGGUGAAAUCCUCCGGCUCAACCGGAGAACUGCCUUAAAUACUGGCGAUCUUGAGGGGGAUAGGGGC
rnacentral:rRNA from 1 species